GCUUAAACAACUGAGCCACCCAGGCAUCUCUUCACCAUCUAUUUAAACACAAUACCUUGGGUCUGGCCUGCCUAACUGGCUUCUAGGCCAUCCUCAGUGCCUUAGGCACCAUGGCUCCUUCUCCCUUCGCUGUCAAGGGGCAAGAAGAGCACCCCCUGGACUUAAUACCACCCACUCCAGAUUUCCCCACCAGUGUCUCAGGUUCAAUAUUCACUUGCUACUGAAAAACAGCGCUGGACUGUUCCAUAGAUGCUCAUGCCAUCUGAGAGAAGAAAGUGGAGUGAAAAA